ensembl:snoRNA
AGGUCAGUGUGGCACACUUAGCACAUUGUUCUCAAAGGAGAGGACUCUUUCUGCAGAGAUUUUUUUUAUAACUGGCCAUAGCAAUGCUAUGUUACAAGCCUUAAUGACGUUGGGGUCUUUAAGGUCCCUGAAAGUGGCUAUAUGG